UCCGGCGAGUGGCGAACGGGUGAGUAAUAUAUCGGAACGUACCGAGUAAUGGGGGAUAACCAAUCGAAAGAUUGGCUAAUACCGCAUACGUCCUACGGGAGAAAGCGGGGGAUCGCAAGACCUCGCGUUAUUCGAGCGGCCGAUAACUGAUUAGCUAGUUGGUGGGGUAAAGGCCUACCAAGGCGACGAUCAGUAGCGGGUCUGAGAGGACGAUCCGCCACACUGGGACUGAGACACGGCCCAG
rnacentral:rRNA from 1 species